AAAGGAAUAGACGGGGGCCCGCACAAGCGGUGGAGCAUGUGGAUUAAUUCGAUGCAACGCGAAGAACCUUACCAGGGCUUGACAUGGAGUUGUAACGCCUAGAGAUAGACGCCCCCUUCGGGGCAACUCACACAGGUGGUGCAUGGUUGUCGUCAGCUCGUGUCGUGAGAUGUUGGGUUAAGUCCCGCAACGAGCGCAACCCUUAUCUUUAGUUCCCAGCGGGUAAAGCCGGGUACGCUAGAGAGACUGCCGUGGAUAACACGGAGGAAGGUGGGGAUGAUGUCAAAUCAUCAUGCCCCUUACGUCCUGGGCUUCACACGUGCUACAAUGGUUUUUACAAAGUGAAGCGAAGCAGCAAUGUGGAGCGAACCACAAAAAAAGACCCCAGUUCGGAUUGUAGGCUGCAACUCGCCUGCAUGAAGUUGGAAUCGCUAGUAAUCGCGAAUCAGCAUGUCGCGGUGAAUACGUUCCCGGGCCUUGUACACACCGCCCGU
rnacentral:rRNA from 1 species